rnacentral:rRNA from 1 species
GUAACAACUCACCUGCCGAAGCAACUAGCCCUGAAAAUGGAUGGCGCUGAAGCGUCGUGCUUAUACUCGGCCGUCAGGGCAAGAGAGGCUGGACUUGUCCGCCAUGAAGCUCUGACGAGUAGGAGGGUCGCGUCGGUGUGCGCAGAAGGGUCUGGGCGUGAGCCUGCCUGGAGCCGCCGACGGUGCAGAUCUUGGUGGUAGUAGCAAAUACUCCAGAGAGGCCCUGGAGGACUGAUGUGGUAGAAGGGUUUCGUGUGAACAGCCGUUGCACACGAGUCAGUCGAUCCUAAGCCCUAGGAGAAAUCCUAU